UACGAAGGGGGCUAGCGUUGCUCGGAAUCACUGGGCGUAAAGCGCACGUAGGCGGCUUACUAAGUCAGGGGUGAAAUCCUGGAGCUCAACUCCAGAACUGCCUUUGAUACUGGUGAGCUUGAGUCCGGAAGAGGUGAGUGGAACUGCGAGUGUAGAGGUGAAAUUCGUAGAUAUUCGCAAGAACACCGGUGGCGAAGGCGGCUACUCUGGGCCUUACCUGACGCUGAGGAGCGGAAAGCGUGGGUAGCGAACAAG
rnacentral:rRNA from 1 species